rnacentral:rRNA from 1 species
AUUGAACGCUGGCGGCAGGCCUAACACAUGCAAGUCGAACGAGUGGCGGACGGGUGAGUCAUGUCUGGGAAACUGCCUGAUGGAGGGGGAUAACUACUGGAAACGGUAGCUAAUACCGCAUACCAUCGGAUGUGCCCAGAUGGGAUUAGCUAGUAGUUGGGGUAACGGCUCACCUGGGCGACGAUCCCUAGCUGGUCUGAGAGGAUGACCAGCCAAACGGGAAGUGAGACACGGUCCAGACGCCUACGGGAGGCAGCAGGGGGGAAUAUUGGACAAUGGGCGCAAGCCUGAUGCAGCCAGGCCGCGUGUAUGAAGAAGGCCUUCGGGUUGUAAAGUACUUUCAGCGGGGAGGCGUUACCAGCAGAAGAAGCACCGGCUAACUCCGUGCCAGCCGCCGCGGUAAUAC